CCGGCGGGGGGGGCGGGACGCUGUCCGUGGCUCUGCGGCUCGCGGGCCCCGCGCGGCGGAGGAGGCGGAUGAGGGGCGGCGGGCUGGGCCGGAGGCUCCUGGCCUCGGGGGGCGGCUGGGGCGCCGCGCUGCCGGCCCCAAGGAGAGGUUUUGCUGCCACAGCCCCUGUGAAGUCGUAUGACAUGAGAAGAGUUGAAAUAACCCCACUGGAACAGAGAAAGCUAACCUUUGAUACCCAUGCAUUGGUACGAGAGCUGGAAGUGCAUGGUUUUGGUAAAGAACAAGCAGAGACCAUUGUAUCAGCAUUAACAACUUUGUCAAAUCUCAGCCUAGACACAGUCUACAAGGAUAUGGUGACCCAAGCUCAGCAGGUGGAAAUAACUCUGCAGCAGAUAAUGGCGCAUUUAGACUCUAUUCGGAAAGAUAUGGUCAUCCUAGAGAAAAGUGAAUUUGCAAACCUGAGAGCAGAGAAUGAGAAAAUGAAAAUUGAGUUGGAUCAAGUUAAACAGCAGCUAAUGAAUGAAACUAGUAAAAUCAGAGCUGAUAAUAAGCUGGACAUAAAUCUGGAAAGGAGCAGAGUGACAGAUAUGUUCACAGAUCAGGAAAAGAAUCUGAUGGAAGCAACUACAGAGUUUCAUAAAAAAGAUUCAAAUACCAACAGUGCUAUUGCAGAAAUCAGUAAUAAAAUUGAUACACAAAUAGCCUCCUUAAAAACUCUCAUGGAAUCAAAUAAACUGGAGACAAUACGUUAUUUGGCAGCUUCUGUUUUCACUUGCCUAGCAAUAGCACUGGGAUUUUAUAGGUUUUGGAAAUAGACCCAGUGGAACUACUGCACUACAGAUAGAAGAAGAAAAGGCCACUGACAUCAUGGAACAUCUGUUUGGUCAUACUGUGUUCGCUACUGCGGGAAUAUUUCCAACACACCUCUGAACAACAUACUAACCCACAGAGACCUUCCUACCAAGACUACAAAAAGAAGGAUUCUGGGUGGAUUCCUCCUGAAGGUCGAAACAACAGACUGGACUUCUGCAUAGAGUGUUUCCGCCAAUGUGCACGGGCUGAAAUUGUGGAAAAGCAGCAUCCCUUGCCCCAUAACCUCAGCCGUGCAGAACACAGUGCCUUCCACAGCUUCAGAAACAACUCUGACAUCAUAAUCAAAAAGGCUGACAAAGGAGGUGCUGUCGUCAUCAUGAAUAGGUCUACCAAUGUGAUAUAUGCCAUCAUGUGCCAGCAAUGCCCCUCUGCCUACAUUGGCCAAACUGGACGGUCUCUACAUAAAAGAAUAAAUGGACACAAAUCAGAUGUCAAGAAUUAUAACAUUCAAAAACCAGUCGGAGAACACUUCAAUCUCUUUGGUCACUCGAUUACAGACCAAAAAGUCGCAAUUCUUCAACAAAAAAACUUCAAAAACAGACUGAGAGACUGCUGAAUUGGAAUUAAUUUGCAAACUGGAUACAAUUAACUUAGGCUUGAAUAGAGACUGGGAGUGGAUGGGUCAUUACACAAAGUAAAACUAUAUUUCCCCAUGUUUAUUCCCCGCCCCCCUCUCCCCACUGUUCCUCAGAUGUUCUUGUCAACUGCUGGAAAUGGCCCACCUUGAUUAUCACUACAAAAGGUUUCCCCCCCCCCCCCCCCGCUCUCCUGCUGGUAAUAGCUCACCUUACCUGAUCACUCUCCUUACAGUGUGUAUGGUAACACCCAUUUAUAUAUGUGAUAUAUAAAUCUCCCCACUGUAUUUUCCACUGAAUGCAUCUGAUGAAGUGAGCUCUAGCUCACAAAAGCUUAUGCUCAAAUAAAUUGGUUACUCUCUAAGGUGCCACAAGUCCUCCUUUUCAUAGAAUCAUAGAAUAUCAGGGUUGGAAGGGACCUCAGGAGGUCAUCUAGUCCAACCCCCUGCUCAAAGCAGGACCAAUCCCCAAUUAAAUUUUCUUUUUGCGGUUACAGACUAACACGGCUGCUACUCUGAAACCUGUACUCUAUUUAUGUAUUUUCCUUGUAUGUGCUCUGUACCUAGAGAAUUAAUCAUUUUUUCAUCCCUUUGUAUGAUAGAUUUAGGUGUGUUACAAGUAAAGGUUUUAGAGAAUCACUUGAGCCUAUUCUAAACACCAUAUUUAUAGUUAAGGGUCUACUUAAAUCACAGAACAAUCACACAUUUUUUGCAGGUUGGUCAUGGCACAAAUAGCAAAUUCGCAGAUGUUUAUGCGGUGACCAACCUACAGCGGAUUUCUCCACAGCGUUUCUCAAACUGGGGGCCCCAACCCAAAAGAGGGUUGCAGGCCUGUUGUAGGGGGCUUAUGGUACUGUCACCCUUACUCCAGCAGCCGUGCCGCCUGAUGCUGGGCGGCAGGAGAGUGGCAGCUACUGGCUGGGUGCCCAGUUCUGAAGGCAGCUCCCCCACCACCAGCAGCAGAGAAAUAAGGGUGACAUGGCAUUGCCAGCCUUACUUCUGUGCUGCCGCUCCUGGUGGCGGCACUGCCUUCAGAGCUGGGUGCCCGGCCAGCAGCCACUGCUCUCCACUCUCCCUUCAGACUGGGCAGCCAGAGACCAGAUUUUCAUGGUACAUGACUUGAUUUUCAUGGCUGUGAAUUUGGUAGACCCCUAUUUAUUCAUCUUCCAGUGUACCUCAACCAUUUCCGUUUGCAGCAUCCACUUCUAACUGAUCCACAAAGGGCUCUUUGCAGUGAUGAAUACUACACAAAUAUUUGACACCAAAAAUGACUGGUAAUCACAUCUGCAGUUCUCUUCCACAGAUCAUGAUUCAUUUGCUCUCAAUAGGUAGAACCCAGGAGUUGCAUUUCCCCCUGUCAUUACCUGCUCCUCAGUAAUGGCUAAUCAGUUUUAAGAUUUGGUAUCUGCCAAACUGACACUGUAAGGAAGGAUAGUUACAUGUCUGAAUUGGGCAUAAAGGAAUCUGAAUUUAAGGCAUCUGGAAGAAAGGGCAAGUUACUCCAAGUUAGAUUCUCCUCUGAAAUUGACCUAUAAUCUUUAUUACCCAAAGAAUCCUCAAAAUAGAGGAAUCAUCACCUCCUGUUCCUUAAAUAUCCCUCCCCAUUACGUGACUGUUUCUCACGUGAAAGGCAACACUUUUAUUCUUUGUUCCCCCUUCGUAAUCAUUUUAGUCUUCCCUAAUUGCAUGGAAUUGAGUAAAUUUCUACUGUGGAAGUAUGUGUUUUGUUGAAUGGAAUGUGUCUCAUUUGCAUGUGCAGCAGGCUCAUUAAAACCAAUGUAAGUUUUGAGAACAGCUUGAUGGUAGGCUUAGGCUUAAUGGCUGCAGGAGUAAAUUGGGAUCUAGGGAGCAUGAGUUGUUCGGAAUUUUCUGUCUGAUUAUUGUAUGUUUUCAGUCAUAGAACUUUUUAUUUUAUUCACCAGCUUCCCUCAGCUUUCAGAGUUGUGUUUUCUUGGCUUCUUUCUUUCUUGAUUCUGCAGUAUCUUUGUAUAUGGAGGGCUUGAGUUAAAUUUAAAAGGUCUUUCUCCACUGCUCAUCCUACUUUUGCAAAAUAAAUGGCCAUUCCAGCAAAGUGUUGACGUCAAUGUGAGUCAUUGGGCAGCUAGUCGUAUGCUUGGAGCCUAUGUUUUAUGUUGCAUCUUCCUGACCUGCUGCUGCUAUGUGCUACAAGGGCCUCUCCCCAAAACUUCCCCUUAGCCUGUGAUGAACCUUGCAUCCAGGGCAAGUAUAUCCUCGGCCAUUAGGCACUGGGAGCCCAUACGUUUGUUUUCCCAUUCAAACAAAGCUGAUUUCUCCUAACUAACCAUGGGAGGAGGCAACACCGCUGUAUUAAAUGCAUUUGCUGGAA